rnacentral:rRNA from 1 species
UACGUAGGGUGCGAGCGUUAAUCGGAAUUACUGGGCGUAAAGCGUGCGCAGGCGGUAAUGCAAGACAGAUGUGAAAUCCCCGGGCUUAACCUGGGAACUGCAUUUGUGACUGCAUUGCUGGAGUGCGGCAGAGGGGGAUGGAAUUCCGCGUGUAGCAGUGAAAUGCGUAGAUAUUAGGAAGAACACCAGUGGCGAAGGCGCUCUACUGGGCCAUUACUGACGCUGAUGGACGAAAGCUAGGGGAGCGAAAGGG